rnacentral:rRNA from 1 species
UUAAGCCUGCAUGUCUAAGUUUAAGCGAUUAAACGGUGAAACUGCGAAUGGCUCAUUAAAUCAGUUAUCGUUUAUUUGAUAGUACCUUACUACAUGGAUACCUGUGGUAAUUCUAGAGCUAAUACAUGCUGAAAACCCCAACUUCGGAAGGGGUGUAUUUAUUAGAUAAAAAACCAAUGCCCUUCGGGGCUCCUUGGUGAUUCAUAAUAACUUAACGAAUCGCAUGGCCUUGCGCCGGCGAUGGUUCAUUCAAAUUUCUGCCCUAUCAACUUUCGAUGGUAGGAUAGUGGCCUACCAUGGUGGCAACGGGUAACGGGGAAUUAGGGUUCGAUUCCGGAGAGGGAGCCUGAGAAACGGCUACCACAUCCAAGGAAGGCAGCAGGCGCGCAAAUUACCCAAUCCCGACACGGGGAGGUAGUGACAAUAAAUACUGAUACGGGGCUCUUUCGGGUCUCGUAAUUGGAAUGAGUACAAUUUAAACCCCUUAACGAGGAACAAUUGGAGGGCAAGUCUGGUGCCAGCAGCCGCGGUAAUUCCAGCUCCAAUAGCGUAUAUUAAAGUUGUUGCAGUUAAAAAGCUCGUAGUUGAACCUUGGGUCUGGCUGGCCGGUCCGCCUCACCGCGAGUACUGGUCCGGCUGGACCUUUCCUUCUGGGGAACCUCAUGGCCUUCACUGGCUGUGGGGGGAACCAGGACUUUUACUGUGAAAAAAUUAGAGUGUUCAAAGCAGGCCUUUGCUCGAAUACAUUAGCAUGGAAUAAUAGAAUAGGACGUGCGGUUCUAUUUUGUUGGUUUCUAGGACCGCCGUAAUGAUUAAUAGGGAUAGUCGGGGGCGUCAGUAUUCAGCUGUCAGAGGUGAAAUUCUUGGAUUUGCUGAAGACUAACUACUGCGAAAGCAUUCGCCAAGGAUGUUUUCAUUAAUCAGGGAACGAAAGUUAGGGGAUCGAAGACGAUCAGAUACCGUCGUAGUCUUAACCAUAAACUAUGCCGACUAGGGAUCGGACGGUGUUUCUAUUAUGACCCGUUCGGCACCUUACGAGAAAUCAAAGUUUUUGGGUUCUGGGGGG